ensembl:lncRNA
CCUACGUCAGUGGUGCAAACUUCUUGUCUUGAAGUUUUAUUGGUCUCCCGCGUAAACCAAGCUACUCAGCUUCUUUUCUCCACUGAAUUUUCCUACUGAGCUAUCCUCAUUCUAUUGUUCUCUAUAUCUCUAAUUAGCAUGUAAAUAGUCGCCUAGGCCGUCUCUCCUUCGAAUACCCUGGAUCAGCUGGGGCUGGUCCCCAGCACCCGGGUGUGUCUGGAAUGCAACCCCGAGAUCCCUGUCGCCCCUGGAGAGGAACACUGGCUUCUGGACACAAGCCUAGAUGAGGUCUAUUGGCCCUGCAGUCACUCGAGAGCAAUCCCCAGCUUUCCUUCGCAACUCGAAUGGAAGAUUGGACUUCCCUGGGCCAACACAAGAGGCAUCCUGAAUUCCCCGUCGUAACUCGAGAAUCCCGCUGCAACUCGAGAAAAUCCACGUGGUUCCCCCGUCAUCGCAAGAUGAAGCCCUUUCCCGCUACAGUGUCUCAGGAGAAGUCCCACGUUAGGUAUUGGAGUUCGAAACGGUACUUGUCACCCUUGAUGCGACCCACAAAGUGCCCCGACAUCCCGGUCUCCCUCAAGAGGAACACCGAAGUUUUCCCGCACCACUUCCUCUGAGCCCCUUCUACCCUCCUGAUCUGGACAGGAGGGUCGACUCCCCUGCUUUGUCUGGAAGGGGUUCCCGACCUUCCGGUCGCACCUCAGGAUGAGGCCGGUCUCACGACGACAUUCCAGACGUGGCCUCGUGGGUGGUUCCACAUUCCGAAGGACCCCGAUUUCCCGGUCCCCUCUUGAUAAGAACCCGAUGCCCGGACACCUCUUCG